AAAAAUAACGGCAUAACAAUCACCCAACCACUACACUGCAGCUGUAGGAAAAUUUAUUUGCCAUAAUUGAUUGAAAAUUUGUGGGUUUCUUCUCAGCCUUUGUACUACUCUCAGAUUGCAGGCACAUUGAUUUCUGUUCUUUGAAACUUCUUAAUUAAUGGGUGAGCUUGAGCCGCGGUGGAUGGGGAGGGCAAUGGUUUUCUUGCUAAUUAUUUGGGGAGUUCAUGGUUGGGGAAAAGAAGGCCACUUUAUCAUUUGCAAAAUUGCUGAGGAAUAUCUUACUGAAGAUGCUUUGACUGCAAUCAAAGCAUUGCUUCCAGAUACGGCUGAAGGUGACCUUGCUCCUGUUUGCUACUGGGCAGAUGAGAUUAAGCACCACUACCACUAUCGCUGGAGUAGUCCUUUACAUUAUGUUGAUACACCUGACUUUAGGUGCAACUACAAGUAUUGCAGAGAUUGCCAUGACUCUCAUGGACACAAAGAUAGGUGUGUCACUGGAGCAAUUUAUAACUAUACCAAGCAACUUGAGUCAUCUUCUUAUGCUUCUGAUUCAUUAGGAUUAAAAUACAACUUGACAGAGGCACUCAUGUUCUUAUCGCAUUUUGUUGGUGACGUCCAUCAGCCACUGCAUGUUGGUUUUGUUGGAGACAAGGGUGGAAACACAAUAAAAGUCCGUUGGUACAGAAGGAAAACUAAUUUGCACCAUGUAUGGGAUACUAUGAUAAUUGAAUCAGCCAUGAAGACAUUCUAUAACAAAGAUAUCGAUGAAAUGAUUCAAUCGAUUCAGAGCAAUAUCACCGAUGACUGGUUGGUUGAUGUUCCAUCUUGGGAAAAUUGCAAUGCUACAGUUUGUCCAGAUACCAGGAAAAGGGAGGAUGUCAUCGUCUGAGAGUUCUGAUGCUUAGUAGUAAAUAAAUUCAUAAAAAAAUGAUUGGAUUGCUCAUCGUGUAGGUAUGCUUCGGAAAGCGUUAAAGUAGCAUGUAAAUUUGCUUACAGAAAUGCCACACCAGGGAGCACUUUAGGAGAUGAUUACUUUCUCUCUCGGAUGCCAGUUGUAGAGAAGCGAUUGGCUCAAAGUGGGGUCCGUUUGGCAGUUAUUCUCAACCAAAUUUUUGCAUCACACCCGUCAAUUGCAAAAGAAUGAAUGGUAACAGGAGGAUAGAGAUGGAUUGCAUCUUAUCAUUCCUUCAAAGCUGGAAAUUCUCCACACGUCAAGAAAUGAACUACCUAAGUAACCAAUUGUCUGUCAUUAAAGUCUACUAUUAGAACAUGUAUUUUAUGUGUAACUUCAAAGUCACACUGUUUUCAAAUGUUGGUAUACCUCUAGUAUUAUGGAAUAUGCCCAUUUGUUGCUUCUGUUUAUAGCUUACUUGGAGAGUAAUUGAAAUGGGAAGAAUCUUUAGCUUGUACA